AUACGUAGGUGGCGAGCGUUAUCCGGAAUUACUGGGCGUAAAGGGCACGCAGGCGGCCAUUCAAGUCUGACGUGAAAGCUCCUGGCUUAACUGGGAGAGGUCGUUGGAGACUGAGUGGCUUGAGGCGAUGAGAGGGGUGCGGAAUUCCCGGUGUAGUGGUGGAAUGCGUAGAUAUCGGGAGGAACACCAGUGGCGAAAGCGGCGCCCUAGCAUUGGCCUGACGCUCAUGUGCGAAAGCGUGGGGAGCGAACGGGAUUAGAUACCCCGGUAGUCCACGCUGUAAACGAUGAGCACUAGGUGUAGGCGGUGUCAAAGCUGUCUGUGCCGAAGCAAACGCGAUAAGUGCUCCGCCUGGGGAGUACGGCCGCAAGGCUAAA
rnacentral:rRNA from 1 species